rnacentral:rRNA from 1 species
AUUGAACGCUGGCGGCAGGCCUAACACAUGCAAGUCGAGCGGUAGCACAGAGAGCUUGCUCUCGGGUGACGAGCGGCGGACGGGUGAGUAAUGUCUGGGAAACUGCCUGAUGGAGGGGGAUAACUACUGGAAACGGUAGCUAAUACCGCAUAACGUCGCAAGACCAAAGUGGGGGACCUUCGGGCCUCAUGCCAUCAGAUGUGCCCAGAUGGGAUUAGCUAGUAGGUGGGGUAACGGCUCACCUAGGCGACGAUCCCUAGCUGGUCUGAGAGGAUGACCAGCCACACUGGAACUGAGACACGGUCCAGACUCCUACGGGGGGCAGCAGUGGGGAAUAUUGCACAAUGGGCGCAAGCCUGAUGCAGCCAUGCCGCGUGUGUGAAGAAGGCCUUCGGGUUGUAAAGCACUUUCAGCGGGGAGGAAGGCGGUGAGGUUAAUAACCUCAUCGAUUGACGUUACCCGCAGAAGAAGCACCGGCUAACUCCGUGCCAGCAGCCGCGGUAAUACGGAGGGUGCAAGCGUUAAUCGGAAUUACUGGGCGUAAAGCGCACGCAGGCGGUCUGUCAGUCGGAUGUGAAAUCCCCGGGCUCAACCUGGGAACUGCAUUCGAAACUGGCAGGCUAGAGUCUUGUAGAGGGGGGUAGAAUUCCAGGUGUAGCGGUGAAAUGCGUAGAGAUCUGGAGGAAUACCGGUGGCGAAGGCGGCCCCCUGGACAAAGACUGACGCUCAGGUGCGAAAGCGUGGGGAGCAAACAGGAUUAGAUACCCUGGUAGUCCACGCCGUAAACGAUGUCGAUUUGGAGGUUGUGCCCUUGAGGCGUGGCUUCCGGAGCUAACGCGUUAAAUCGACCGCCUGGGGAGUACGGCCGCAAGGUUAAAACUCAAAUGAAUUGACGGGGGCCCGCACAAGCGGUGGAGCAUGUGGUUUAAUUCGAUGCAACGCGAAGAACCUUACCUGGUCUUGACAUCCACAGAACUUUCCAGAGAUGGAUUGGUGCCUUCGGGAACUGUGAGACAGGUGCUGCAUGGCUGUCGUCAGCUCGUGUUGUGAAAUGUUGGGUUAAGUCCCGCAACGAGCGCAACCCUUAUCCUUUGUUGCCAGCGGUUAGGCCGGGAACUCAAAGGAGACUGCCAGUGAUAAACUGGAGGAAGGUGGGGAUGACGUCAAGUCAUCAUGGCCCUUACGACCAGGGCUACACACGUGCUACAAUGGCAUAUACAAAGAGAAGCGACCUCGCGAGAGCAAGCGGACCUCAUAAAGUAUGUCGUAGUCCGGAUUGGAGUCUGCAACUCGACUCCAUGAAGUCGGAAUCGCUAGUAAUCGUAGAUCAGAAUGCUACGGUGAAUACGUUCCCGGGCCU